rnacentral:rRNA from 1 species
AACGACUCUCGGCAACGGAUAUCUCGGCUCACGCAUCGAUGAAGAACGUAGCAAAAUGCGAUACUUGGUGUGAAUUGCAGAAUCCCGUGAACCAUCGAGUUUUUGAACGCAAGUUGCGCCCGAAGCCAUUCGGCUGAGGGCACGUCUGCCUGAGCGUCACGCAU